GUUGUUGUAAACAUCCCCGACUGGAAGCUGUGAGACACAGCAAAGCUUUCAGUCAGAUGUUUGCUGCUAC
ensembl:miRNA MIR30D microRNA 30d